AGUGAACGCUGGCGGUAGGCCUAACACAUGCAAGUCGAACGGCAGCACAGUAAGAGCUUGCUCUUACGGGUGGCGAGUGGCGGACGGGUGAGGAAUACAUCGGAAUCUACUUUUUCGUGGGGGAUAACGUAGGGAAACUUACGCUAAUACCGCAUACGACCUACGGGUGAAAGCAGGGGAUCUUCGGACCUUGCGCGAUUGAAUGAGCCGAUGUCGGAUUAGCUAGUUGGCGGGGUAAAGGCCCACCAAGGCGACGAUCCGUAGCUGGUCUGAGAGGAUGAUCAGCCACAUUGGAACGGAGACACGGUCCAGACUCCUACGGGAGGCAGCAGUGGGGAAUAUUGGACAAUGGGCGCAAGCCUGAUCCAGCCAUACCGCGUGGGUGAAGAAGGCCUUCGGGUUGUAAAGCCCUUUUGUUGGGAAAGAAAAGCAGCAGGUUAAUACCCCGCUGUUCUGACGGUACCCAAAGAAGAAGCACCGGCUAACUUCGUG
rnacentral:rRNA from 1 species